rnacentral:lncRNA from 1 species
UGCUCACAAAACCCCGAUUGAAGCUUGUGCCACAAGGAAAAUCAACAAAAACCUAUAACUCACCAAUUGGUGAUAGGAAACAACUCUUAGAACUUGAAUUGAACUAGGAAUUGAAGAUGAAAACCACAAGACACAUGCAACGGAAGAAAUUGCAUGAUCAUAGCUCAAGAACACACUGUGAAAAGAGGAAAAACAGCUUACUAGCUAGAAUCAGAAAAUUGAUUAGUCAGUUGUGUAGCACUCUACUCC